rnacentral:rRNA from 1 species
GACGGAGGGUGCAAGCGUUGUUCGGAAUCACUGGGCGUAAAGCGCGUGUAGGCGGUUUGAUAAGUCGAAUGUGAAAGCCCGAGGCUCAACCUCGGAAGUGCAUUCGAAACUGUCAGGCUUGAGUACGGGAGAGGGAAGUGGAAUUCCGGGUGUAGAGGUGAAAUUCGUAGAGAUCAGGAGGAACACCGGUGGCGAAGGCGGCUUCCUGGACCGAUACUGACGCUGGGGCGCGAAAGAGUGGGGAGCAAACAGG